GGAUCGGGCCUUUCAGGCAUCCUCUCCCAAAAACUUUUCAUAGGGCUGGUCUUCGGAUCGGCCCUUUUUUUUCCCGUUU
rnacentral:sRNA from 1 species